AUUGAACGCUGGCGGCACGCCUAACACAUGCAAGUCGAGCGGCAGCAUGCUUAGUAGCAAUACUAAGUGAUGGCGAGCGGCGGACGGGUGAGGAACACGUAGGAACCUGCCCAAAAGUGGGGGACAACCAAGGGAAACUCUGGCUAAUACCGCAUAAUUCUCUGAGGAGAAAAGUUGCCCGCAAGGGUGGCGCUUUUGGAGGGGCCUGCGUCCGAUUAGUUAGUUGGUGAGGUAAUGGCUCACCAAGACGAUGAUCGGUAACUGGUCUGAGAGGACGACCAGUCACACUGGGACUGAGACACGGCCCAGACUCCUACGGGAGGCAGCAGUGGGGAAUCUUGGACAAUGGGGGCAACCCUGAUCCAGCGAUGCCGCGUGGGUGAAGAAGGCCUUCGGGUUGUAAAGCCCUUUAGGCGGGGAAGAAGGGUGUAGGAUGAAUAAGCCUAUGCUCUGACGGUACCCGCAGAAUAAGCACCGGCAAACUCUGUGCCAGCCGCCGCCGUAA
rnacentral:rRNA from 1 species